rnacentral:rRNA from 1 species
CCUACGGGUGGCAGCAGUGGGGAAUAUUGCACAAUGGGGGAAACCCUGAUGCAGCAACGCCGCGUGAGUGAAGCAGGUUUUCGGAUUGUAAAGCUCUGUUAGCAGGGAAGAGGAAAGACGGUACCUGCAGAGGAAGCCACGGCUAACUGCGUGCCAGCAGCCGCGGUAAUACGUAGGUGGCAAGCGUUGUGCGGAAUUACUGGGCAUAAAGGGUGCGUAGGCGGUUAAACAAAGUAUAUGUUAAAUGUAAAGGCUGAACCUGUAGAAAGCAUAUAAAACUGGUUAACUAGAGUGCAUGAGAGGUAAGUGGAAUUCCUAGUGUAGCGGUGAAAUGCGUAGAGAUCAGGAAGAACACCAGUGGCGAAGGCGACUUACUGGACUGUAACUGACGCUGAGGCAUGAGAGCGUGGGGAGCAAACAGGAUUAGAUACCCUUGUAGUC